rnacentral:sRNA from 1 species
ACAAAUUGAGAGCAGGUGACGUAACAUUUCGGCUGUUGUCUAGACUUCUUGCAGCUUACGUUAAAUAGGGCAUGCUAGAAAGAGAUUCUUGUUUUGAUAGCGUUGAAGGCGGUAUAAGAAAAAAAAAGAAACUUGACUGUCUGUCACGCGCUUCCCCUGGGCAGUAUUAAGUUGAGCCCAGCAGGACUAGGGGGUAUACAGUAACAGCUCGAGUAACCUAAUCCCUCCAGUCAGUCCGGUCAGCGGCUGUUCUUAGCAGAAUAUCAAGAGUGACUGCAUUCCUUUUCACAAGAUCAAAAUGGUUCACUUCUGCAGAAGAUCAUGAACAAGUCCCUUCACCUAAACUCUGCCAACGAUCAAAUUGGACGAAACGCUUUCAGACACGAUUGGCGAAGUGACAUUAUUAUAAAGUGGGUCACGGCGCAGACGACCGAACUUGUUUCUAGCGUAUUGUCUGGAAUUGAUCGGAAAAUUUGAUUGAAUAUCGGCCCCAGAAUGGGUUCAAUUGUUGUGAAGUA